UGCAGAGUGAUUGCCAUGGGAUGCAAGCCACAAAGCAACAUAUGCAAAAGCUUGCAUAUUCAUAUGCAAAAAACAGACUCGAAACAAGAGUAUGAUUUACAGUAUACUAUGUAAGAUGCGUACUUUAUAGAUCAGUAACUGUUACCAGUAUGCUGAUCAGAUGUUGUGGGCUGAUCACAGACUGUGCAUAGUGCACGCCAUCCCCCAAGGCAGAGUGAGAGUACUUGCUGUGUAAGGUUUUGAUUUCCUGUGCUCAUUAUGAAAGGUAAAAACAGAUGAGUAGACAGCAGUGGCCAUCUUGUCGAUGAGGUUUGCAUAAUGAUGAUACAGCAUUAGUAAAGAUAAGAAUGUGCUGUUUUGACAAUCAUCACCGGGGAAAAAGAAAACAGCAAGUUAUGUCUACUUAAUCAUAAAGCAAAAAUCUGACAUGAUUCCAUUUUUACAUAGAAAACUUACAAUAUCUUACUGAAACUCGAAAUGUUUAUGUGACUCGUGUUUCUUGGUAGGGAUCAGAAAUCUGACCUGAUCUGCUCGACCUAAAACAUUUUCUUCCAGAGGAGCUACUGUACACUAACUCCAUCUCUCACUGAAGACCUUUUUUCUUUUGGGGCUUGUUAGGUAACUUGCCAGCAUCACAGCUAAAUGAAUGCCUUGCCAAACAGCUUCUUUAGCCAGCGAAGGAGCCAUAGUAAGUGAAUGUUUGAUAUUUCUCCACUGUGCCAGGCUAAUCUGGCCCUGUGGCAUGCCAUUACGGGGCUAAUAACAGCUGUCUAUGGCCCGGAGGGGACACAAGCAGGCCUGGCUGUGCUAACUGGCCCUGACAGACUCAUUAGGAGUGCUGGCACCCAGAACAGCAAAAGCCAAACUCCUCACAUUUCCUUGCUGGCUCACAACAGUUUGCAAGUGCAAGAAGCAUUGUUCUUUACACUUGUUCUCUGACACCUUUCUUUUCUUUUCUACUCACUUCAGAGGCUCUCACCUCUCUUUUUGACUUUUUUGGUCAGGUUUGGGUUUCUGUGAUAUUUUUUGCCAAACCAGAUGCCGUACCAUGUCUACUUGACCUCGGGUUGAAUCUAACCUCUUAUUUUCUCUCUCUAUUUUUUUUUUAAUCCUGCCCACCCACUCUCUACUGAUGACCAAAACAGAGCAGGAAAGAUUCACUUGCUUGUUCACGCUAUUGCUAUCUUUGCCGAAAAAGUAAAAGGAACAUAAAUGAAUACAUAACUAAAUAAAUGACUCGGAACUUCUAACUAACUUUGUUUAUCUGCCACAGGAAGACGCUGCACCACACCAGGAAGACGCUGGCAUCCUCUGAACUUUGUAUUAUAUACAGUGUCUGUUUGGGGACAAAAGGGGUUUCCCCAGGCAGACAGCACAAGCAAACGCUGGCCUGCCACUCGGCAGGGCCAAGCCAAUCACUACAAGCAGAGCAGGCUGACAAUAAACACAAAGGUCUAAUGGCAGUGGUCUGCAUGUAGAAUCAUUAAUAACUUGGGAAGCAUGCAUGGUUGCAAGACUCCAGCCAUGCAACAAACAUUCAUGUCUUCAUUUUGAUUUAAAUAAAGAUUUGUUUUAUUCUGAUGCAUGUGAAGGUGAAUAAUUCAAAUAUCUGUCAGCGUACCAUUUAACACAUACUAAUGCACCAUCAAUGCACAUUUUCCAUGUUUUCUUAUCUAAUAUAGAGGUAUCUGAUUUUUAUCCAAUACAAUUUAAUUUCUCGAGUCAUAUUUUUGAACUGUCAAAUAAUCUCUCUCUCUUUUUUUUGCAAAGCGAUAUUAGCUUGUUUAAAACACAGUGAGCACUGCAAUAGAUUUUCUCAUUAGAAAUCAACACUGGCCUUCCCUUUUUAUAGGCUGCACCACUGGGGGACUGUAAAGCCGAAGGAGCAGCUGUGGGGGUAUGGUUACCUGUAAUGCUAGCUGUUGCAUGUUAUAUUAUUUACGCAGAUCUGGACUUAAUGGAACACAUGUGCAUCUGAAACCGACAUUCUUCCCAGAUUAGUUGAAAGCCGGCACACACCAGACUCUACCAAUGAGAGGAAUGCAAGGCCGAGACAGGCUUAUGAGGAAACACUAUCACUCAUCUAUGGUUUAAAAUACUCACAAUGUAUGCGCGCACAGACACACACACACACACACACACACACACACACACACACACACACUGUCAUGCCUGUACACACAUUCUCUACUGAUAUAUCAUGUACACAGCACUUUGUAUAGUAAGCACUCAACAAUGGGUGCACACUGACAUCAGAAGAUCAAUAAUACAAAACAUUACACUCAUUCAAAACAGUCAAUCAGUCUUUACACCCUUAAAAUGGCUAUUUCUUAUGCUCUACUAAAAACUUGUCAGCUGUGUUGCAUAAACAUAAUAUCAGUCGGAUUUAUAGAUGUGGUGGUCUAACACUCAGUAACAGAGUAUGAAUCACUUUUUCAGUGGUUUUUUUUAACAGUCUGAGAGAAAACCAGCUGCGGGAUGCAACAUCAGUUUGCAUAUUGCAUUGUGAUGAAUCAUUUUCUUUCAUACACUUUUCACAGUAUGUGAUAUAAUUUUGAGGACAGAUGUUACAGGUUUUUCUCAUUUGUUUGUGAUCUGUGAUUCUAACACUUACUAGUGUUUGUGUUACAUUUUUAAGGAAAAGCUGAAAGUACAUCUAUAUUUGGAGGGGUUGUAUGUUCUGUAAUCCUACUAGAAUAUUAUUACAGCUUGCUUUGAGAUUUUUUCCACUCCUCAACUUUAUGUAACUAAGUUUUCUUUGCAGGGAACUUGAAAAGGAUUAACUGACAUCUUUUGAUGUUAAUUUAUCCACAGUCUCUCUGCUACCAUCUGUGAGUUCCAGCCUGCAGACCUUGAAAACACUGACAUCUACGCUCAAGCCAAGAUGCUGUCUGCUGCUGGUGACAGACAUCCCACAGUUUCUCAAUAACGUGGUAAUUCACCGUAAUCCAACCUGGGCCUUAAUCAGAGUGACUGCAGCCAUGCUGUUUCACCCGGAAACAUGCUGUCCCUCUGGGCUGCUGAAUAAAUAACAAAAACAGACAAGCCCAAUGCUUCAUUACAACAAUAGGAAGAAAAGAGACACUCCAUCAAAAUAAAUCCGCUGCACAGUACCAGUCCACUCUGACAGCAGCACAACAUCAAGAAACAUUAUUUGUCAAAUGUAACACACAAAGUUGCAGAUGCUGCAGAUACAUUAAUUGUAGUCAUCAUGUUAAGUCAUAUUACUCACUAAUGCAUCAAAGAAUCUCUGUACAGCUUGUUGUGUUUUCUGUGCUUUUCUUGACAACUGUUUGUCUCAUCCAGUUUGCAUUUAUUGGACUAAAUGAAAUAUAGUAUUUGGUCUGAACUUGCUUCGGAAGGCUUUGUUUUGUGUUUUGCUUUCAGAACUACUACACUGGAAAAUGGCAGCAUCUGCCAAAAGCCUGCCUGUGCUGCAUUUAUAGAACACCGGUGUAAUUGUAAUCUCUACCAAAAGCCUGCGUUUUACUCGAUUAGGGAACAUACAUUUGUUGUAACGUCAACCAACAGUCUGCAUGUGAAGCAUUUGAGUAAACUGUCACAUCUACUGAUAGUCUGAAUGUGAUGUUACAGAUAGAGUUCACAUCUGUUUAUUGCAGGGUAGCACCCCCACCCCACUCUCAACUGAAUGAGUCUCUGCAUCAGUCACAUGAGGCGACACCACACACUGACAGAACUUGAAACCUGACUUCACACAACAAGAAGAAAUUCUUGUAAUGUAUCAGGGAAGGGAACAUGAUUCAUAUUUUAGAGUAUAAAAACCUCUUAAAUGCUUUGUAAGUGUGACUACAAAUGAGGUAUGAGACAACUACAAUGACCUAAGUGGCAAAUGAGUCAGUCAAUAUAAGUAUUUAUAGUUUGCACUAACUGUCCUUCCCCUUUCGCCAUGUGAAAUCGUAAAAAGUUUAGUAUCAGUGCGAUUAAACUAAAUUUAAGAGAUCGUGUUUUUUAAAUUAUGAGGUUUGGAGAGGAUCCCACAGUGAAAACAUGUUCUAACCUGAGAAGCCAGUACUUUAAAAUUAACUGGUGAGAAAUGAUCAAAGAAAGGAAAAAAAACAAUAGGAGGAGAAAGAUGCUAGCAACUAAUAGCUGACGAAAGAUUAUAUGUGCAAUGCAGGUGUUGAUUUUGUGGAUGGAUGCUCCUUCAUUUCUAGGUUUUCUCUUCUACCUCUCACUUUACCUAUGAGAUCCAUUUACAGCACCUCUCCACCUUACUGUCUCCCUCUGCUUUUACAUCUUUCUCUCUAUCUUGAGUGCUUUGCCUCACCCUAAUUAGAAAUUCCCCCUCCGACCAGCUGAAAUUGAAUUGCCCAUCAUUUGCAUAAUGAUAGCUCACUGGGCUGAUGGCCGAUUUACCAUGAGAUGAAAUGUAGCAAUCACUUAAGAGAGUGACCAUGAGGGAGUGUGGGUAAGCGGGUGCAUAAAAAAAGGAGGAAGAGCGAGAGAGAGAGAGAGACAGACAGCGAGAGAGAAAGAGAGAGAGACGGAGGUGGGGGGAGAAAAUGUGAGAAUAAAAAGGGAUCACAAAGAUAGAGUGAAGUAAAGAAAAAGAGAAAGAAUGAAAGUCUGAAAUCCACCAGGUAUUUAGGUUAUUGUCUCACACUGCAGUCUUGCUGGGAGGAAGGCUGUGUCCUCAAUAUGACAGUAACUGGACACAACAAGGACACAUAAGGGCGCAUAUGUAACACAUUUUCUCUUUUACAUGAAACCACUUGUGUCUUUAAACUCUAAUUAUGCCACACCAUGUUUCAAACAGAGCGACUAUUCUUCUGUUUUCCCACCAUCUUAAAGGUCGGGAUUUCCAGCCGCAUGUCUUCUAAGGUAAUUAAUAACCUCAAUGAGUAUUUCAAUUUUUAAAAAAUCAGUAGCUAAAAUAAGAGUCUCAAAGCAGUUGGCUGGGAGAAAAUCAAACGCUCGAUAAAUGUAUUUGCCUUUUCUUCUCGCAGAUACAAACUCAAUAGACACACUUCACGAGGAAAUAAGCAGUGCAAGGUUGAUCACUUCUAUCCAGAAUUAUGUUUCUUUGCUCUCAGAACAGGAAUAAAAUAGUCGAAAGCAAAUAAUAAAUGUCGACGACCUCCAUUGUUGAUGUUAAGUGUUGAGCUGUUGUACACUAUAAUUAGUUUCUUGCGUAGCUGCCUGGCACGUUCUGACUUUUUUUUCUUUCUGCACGAGAUCAGGAACUCCUGAACCACCCACAGUUUAUAAGAAGUGGCCACAUUGUCAACUGUGUAGUUGUCAGUGAACGCCCUAUCAGAUGAACAACUGCCACAACAUGUACAAAUUACUGUAAUCAAUGAUAUGAUAAUGACCUUGUUGUCUCGCCUUUUCUGGGCCAUCAAUCUUACAUUCCACUAGGCCUGGAAAUUUGAUUUGUAAAAAACCCUAAUAAAUCUUGUGUCAGUGAUGUCACGUAACUACAGGGAAAUCUAAUAAAAGAGCCUGAUCAGUGUGGUAAAGUGACAGUGAAGAAGCACGGGGCCGAGGCUAAUGCACGCGGCAGUCUAAAAUCUCAACGCCGAGACAAAGUUACCACCGAGGGUCCUAAAAUAAUUGCUUAUUCAUGGGAGUGAGUGGGCUGAGACAAGUGGUAUAGAGGUCAUGUUUGUUUCUAAUAGUUGGAAGUCAUAUGUGGAACUAUCAGGUUGGAAGCUCUGCCCGAAGCACGAUAAGGCCACUGUUUAUUGUCUAACUUCCACUCUCCAACCUGAGGAACCCAAGACUCUCACACAGGGUACUUUCCACCCCUCAGCCAUUACCUCAAAGUGUGUUUAUGAGCGCGAGAGAGUGUGUGAAGUAUAUAUGCACACAUAAAUGUGCAUUUGCGUGAGAGAGCUCUCAUGAAAGUGUGAGCGUGGUCUUUGGUUUCCAUCACGAGUCUUGACCUAAUUAAAAUGUCAUGUCAAUGCUCAAUAACUGACAAGUCAUCAGAAAGCGCACAGUGCUCACAGCACUCUCAGUGCUCAAAUCAUUUAUUCAAUUCUUCAAUCUCUUCUUCCUCUGUCCAUCUCUACAUAAGUGAUCAGUGAUCAAAUGUCGCAUGUUAAAGUCAGCCAGCCCAGACAGGAGGGAGUUAAGUCUCUUAUCUCUCCUCCCCAGAAGAAAUUCCAACUAGAGGCCUCGCUCUGCUGGUUUCCUGCCUUCUUGCCCAAUGCCCUAUUUUUACUCAUUGGGGCUCUAGAAUACCAGGGGCAGCUUUUUCCUUGUCACUAACAUAUUUCCUGCCAUUCUCACUCUGACAUUUCUCCCCUCAGCACGCUUCGCUCAAAUCGUUCCCCCUCUUUAUGGGUCAUAACCUUUCAUUCAGGGAUGUUCAUAUUCAAAUGUACCUGCUGAA